rnacentral:pre_miRNA from 1 species
AUCACCUAGAAAUCUUAUUAAAAUACAGAUUCUUAUUCGCUAGCUCUGGAGUAGUGCCUGAGAUUCUGCAUUUCUAACAAGCUCCCAGGUGAUACCAA